rnacentral:rRNA from 1 species
UACGAAGGGGGCUAGCGUUGCUCGGAAUUACUGGGCGUAAAGCGCACGUGGGCGGCUUUCUAAGUCGGGGGUGAAAUCCCAGGGCUCAACCCUGGAACUGCCUUCUAGACUGCAGGCCUCGAGGUCAGGAGAGGCGAGUGGAAUACCGAGUGUAGAGGUGAAAUUCGUAGAUAUUCGGUGGAACACCAGUGGCGAAGGCGACUCGCUGGACUGAUACUGACGCUGAGGUGCGAAAGCGUGGGGAGCAAACAGG